rnacentral:rRNA from 1 species
AUUGAACGCUGGCGGCAUGCUUUACACAUGCAAGUCGAACGGCAGCGCGGGCUUCGGCCUGGCGGCGAGUGGCGAACGGGUGAGUAAUGCAUCGGAACGUGCCCAGUAGUGGGGGAUAGCCCGGCGAAAGCCGGAUUAAUACCGCAUACGACCUGAGGGUGAAAGCGGGGGACCGAAAGGCCUCGCGCUAUUGGAGCGGCCGAUGUCGGGUUAGCUAGUUGGUGGGGUAAAGGCUUACCAAGGCGACGAUCCGUAGCUGGUCUGAGAGGACGACCAGCCACACUGGGACUGAGACACGGCCCAGACUCCUACGGGAGGCAGCAGUGGGGAAUUUUGGACAAUGGGGGCAACCCUGAUCCAGCCAUGCCGCGUGCGGGAAGAAGGCCUUCGGGUUGUAAAACGCUUUUGUUCGGGAAGAAAUACUCUGGGCUAAUACCCCGGGGGGAUGACGGUACCGGAAGAAUAAGCACCGGCUAACUACGUG